UGAAUACGAGACGCUAAGGCGUCGAAGUAGUGUAUGUCAUACUUCCAAGAAAAGCUUGCACUGUCAUAAGUAAAAAAUGCCUGUACCAUAACCGACACAGGUGGGUAGGUAGAGUAUACUAAGGGGCGCGAGAUAACUCUCUCUAAGGAACUCGGCAAAAUAACUCCGUAACUUCGGGAGAAGGAGUACCUUAUUCUAUAAGGUUGCAAUAACAAGAUCCAAGCAACUGUUUAUCAAAAACACGGGUCUCCGCUAAGUCGUAAGACGAUGUAUGGGGGCUGACGCCUGCCCAGUGCCAGAAGGUUAAAGAAGUCGGUUAGCAUUAGCGAAGCUGGUAACUGAAGCCCUGGUGAACGGCGGCCGUAACAAUAACGGUCCUAAGGUAGCGAAAUUCCUUGUCGGGUAAGUUCCGACCCGCACGAAAGGCGUAAUGAUUUGGAUACUGUCUCGGAGAGGGGCUCGGUGAAAUAGACUCGUCUGUGAAGAUGCGGACUACCUGCACCAGGACAGAAAGACCCUAUGAAGCUUUACUGUAACUUGAAAUUGAAAUUGGACUUUACUCGCGCAGUAUAGGUGGGAGGUGUUGAUUAUAAUCUUGCGGGAUUAUUGGAGCCAUCAGUGAGAUACCACUCUUGUAAUGUUAGAUUUCUAACUUUGAAUCAUUAUCUGGUCAAAGGACAGUUUCAGGCGGGCAGUUUGACUGGGGCGGUCGCCUCCCAAACGGUAACGGAGGCGUACAAAGGUUUCCUCUGAACGGGUAGAAAUCGUAUCUAGAGUGUAAAGGCAUAAGGAAGCUUGACUGUGAGACCUACAAGUCGAACAGGGACGAAAGUCGGUCUUAGUGAUCUGACGGUACUGAGUGGAAAGGCCGUCACUCAACGGAUAAAAGUUACUCUAAGGAUAACAGGCUGAUCUCCCCCAAGAGUUCACAUCGACGGGGAGGUUUGGCACCUCGAUGUCGGCUCAUCGCAUCCUGGGGCGGUAGUACGUCCCAAGGGUUGGGCUGUUCGCCCAUGAAAGCGGUACGCGAGCUGGGUUCAGAACGUCGUGAGACAGUUCGGUCCAUAUCCGGUGUAGGCGUUAGAAUACUGAGAGGAGCCUUCUUUAGUACGAGAGGACCGAGAAGGACAUACCUCUGGUGUACCAGUUAUCGUGCCAACGGUAAACGCUGGGUAGCUAUGUAUGGAGUGGAUAACCGCUGAAAGCAUCUAAGUGGGAAGCCCACCUCAAGAUAAGUAUUCACA
rnacentral:rRNA from 1 species